CGGCGGCUGCCUACACAUGCAAGUCGUACGGAGAGUGGGGCAACUCACUCUCAGUGGCAAACGGGUGAGUAACGCGUGAAUAACCUGCCUUUGAGAAGGGGAUAACUGUCCGAAAGGAUAGCUAAUACCCUAUAUUGCCUUUUGUCACUAAGGGCAAAAGGUGAAAGCGAGGCUGUCAAAGGCUUCGGCUCAAAGAAGGGUUCGCGUCCUAUCAGGUAGUUGGUGGGGUAAUGGCCUACCAAGCCAAUGACGGGUAGCUGGUCUUAGAGGAUGAUCAGCCACAGUGGGACUGAGACACGGCCCGCACCCCUACGGGGGGCAGCAGUGGGGAAUCGUGGGCAAUGGGCGCAAGCCUGACCCCGCAAUGCCGCGUGAGGGAAGAAGCCCUUCGGGGUGUAAACCUCUGUCAGAUGGGAAGAUGGGACUAGGGGCUAAUACCUCCUAGUCUUGACGGUACCAUCAGAGGAAGGGACGGCUAACUACGUGCCAGCAGCCGCGGUAAU
rnacentral:rRNA from 1 species